AAUGCAGGAUGCUCCCUUAAAUUCGAGUGUCAGAUAAACAACAAGUCAUUUCUUAGCAUAAAUACGUCUUAUGCAAUAUUUGGGCCAUACUUAUACUAAAAAAUGAUUUGUUGUUUAUCUGAAAGGCACAUUUAGUUGGAUAUUCUAUAUUUU
rnacentral:miRNA from 14 species